rnacentral:rRNA from 1 species
GGGGAAUAUUGGACAAUGGGCGCAAGCCUGAUCCAGCCAUACCGCGUGGGUGAAGAAGGCCUUCGGGUUGUAAAGCCCUUUUGUUGGGAAAGAAAUCCAGCUGGCUAAUACCCGGUUGGGAUGACGGUACCCAAAGAAUAAGCACCGGCUAACUUCGUGCCAGCAGCCGCGGUAAUACGAAGGGUGCAAGCGUUACUCGGAAUUACUGGGCGUAAAGCGUGCGUAGGUGGUCGUUUAAGUCCGUUGUGAAAGCCCUGGGCUCAACCUGGGAACUGCAUCCAUAACUGCCUGACUAGAGUACGGUAAAGGGUGGUGGAAUUUCCUGUGUAGCGGUGAAAUGCGUAGAUAUAGGAAGGAACACCAGUGGCGAAGGCGGCCCCCUGGACGAAGACUGACGCUCAGGUGCGAAAGCGUGGGAGCAAACA